CUGUCUCCAGCCCACGUAGCCGUGUCAGGAAAGUAUAUAGGUGUGAGGUGAGCUGGCAGGGAGGCAGGCUGGCCCCCUGUGAGGGGAGGCUGGGUGUGAGGAUCCCACUGGGGGGCAGCGACAACAGCACUGCAGCGAUGCCUCCUCCUUUCCCUUCUUUUCCACCUCUGUCACCACGUGGCAGGCACCCAGACCCCAGAUGUUUCCUGCUGCAUGGCUCUCUGUAUGUGUGCCUGCACUCGUGCAUGCACACUGGUGUCCCCUGCCCUGCCGUACUACCCUCCCCAGGAAGGGAUGGAGGGGAGGUGGGAUGAGGGCAGGCAGGAUCUUCCCAUCUCUGUUCCCACAGCAUUGGAAAGAGACAAAUUUAGGUGGACCCUAAAUGGGAACCCUCAAACCCCCACCCCCUAUUCUGGAUCAGUGAGUAUGUGUGUGCGGGGGUGGGGGGCGUGGGAGGGGUAGAGGUAGGGGGGUGGGGGAUGCCCAGAGGGGGAAUAGGGUACCAGGGCCUGGCCUCUGUGCCUUUUAAUGUAAUGUGAACAGCAUGCAAAGCAGAUGCAAAUAUUAUGCAAACUAGAACUUUUCUUUUUCUAGUCAACAGCUCUGACAGGCUCUGAAAUGGGCUACAGGGGGCCCAGAACCCAAGGGGAGGUGUGGAAGUGAGGGCAGCCAUCAUCACUGCUUUGUCAAGAGCAUGCUAUGUUCAAGCAGUACCCAAGCAUCUACUGUACACCGGGCACCAGGGCAUAUCGUAUACUGGGCUCCUGAAGAUUCAGAUGAAGACUAAGGCAUGCAGGGAAGUUUAGGGAAGUGAGAACAAAAUCCAGCUCCAUAGGACCUUGAUUGACAGCCUUUCAGACAUGCUAGCAUUUAUUUAUAAUUCUUUAGAGGAGGGAGGGGCAGAGGGAGAGAGAGAGAUACUUAAGCAGGCUGCACACCCAACAUGGAGCUCAACACGGGGCUCAAUCUCACAACCGUGAGAUCACGACCUGAGCCAAAACCACAAGUCAGACACUCAGUCAACUGAGCCACCCUGGUGCCCCAAGACAUCCCUAGCAUUUAAUAGCAUGUGAGACCAGAUAGCAGAAUGGUUAAAGUCUCCUGUUCUGGCCUCAGCUAGACCUGGGUUUGAUUCCCUCAGCUCCACCACUUAAUUUCUCUGUGAUCUUAGGCAAGGUGCUUUACCUCUGUAAAUUUCUGUUUAUUUGCUCAGAAAUGGAGAACGGUAAUAGUACAGACUUCAUUGAGUGGUCCUAAGGACUCAGUGACAUGUAUGGACACGUAGGGCAAGGUGCCUGGCCAUGUUACCCCGUGAAGUCUCCAUGAAGGGGAGUUGUGAUCAUAGGACUGCUUCCCCCAGGGGAGCCUCUGAGCCCUUCAUCCUCUCCUGCCCUGCUGAGCUCCUACCACACAAAAUGCCAUAACCAAGCAUCUAUCUGGGGGCAGGCCCUGGGUUUUGCUUUUCUCUAUCCACAGCCAGACGUUGCCUGGAGGGUCACUCAACUGACUGGAUGAAUGAUAAUCGAAUGGUCUCAACUCCUCUGGCAGGCCGGGAGGGCAGACCAGGAUUGAGACCAUGGAGGGGUCCAGAGGGUCAUCCCAGGGCAGUGGUUUGGGGUCCUGGGAUGAAAUGGGAUCCCAGCAGUCACAGUAGUUUCUUUCUAAUGAUCCCCACCCCCUCAACUUCCCUCCCUACAAAGGUGUUGGGGGGCAGGGGCGGAUUGGAGGAGGAGGAGCUUCUGCUCUCAGCAAAUGAAAACAAGGUCAGAGGUUGGGUGGAAGGCCAGGGGGAUGGUUCUGGUACAAAGAGGUAGAUGUAUGUGUGUGUUGCAGGGUGGGGGGGUGUUCAGGGUGGUGGAGGAGUGGUGACAGCACCCCUAGUUGGAGCAUAAGAGCCACAGUUUUUGAGCACCUAACAUUUUACCAGGCUCCAGGAUACUGUUUAUGUUGUAUCAUAGUCAAAAUCUCAAGAUAGCAAUCUCCAUUACCAUCCCCUUUUUCAAUUCUUGGAGGAAAUUGAUAGAGAUGCUUGCCCCAGGUCACUCCGUUGGUGAGUAUCAGUUCCAGGAUUUGAACCCUGGCAUUCUCUCUCCAUAGCUUUAAUGUUCACUACUAAGCACCUCCUUCAUGCUCCUAAAGGCUGACCUGGGCUCAAAUCCUCUUUCCCUCACACUUCUCUCAACAGAGCUUCUGUUGCUCUACUCAUCCCCACAUCCCCUUCAACUGCCAACACAUAUCACUAAUCCAAUAACCCGCCCUCCACCCCUUUUC
rnacentral:lncRNA from 1 species